GGCUCCCUGUUAAGCGUGUAUAGGGAGUCGGACCUGCCCAGUGAAUAAUUUUAACGGCCGCGGUACUCUGACCGUGCAAAGGUAGCAUAAUCACUUGCCUUAUAAUUGAAGGCUAGUAUGAAUGGUUUGACGAGAGCAUCCCUGUCUCUUCCCCGUUAUAUAGAAUUUGACUUCCAGGUGAAGAGGCCUGCUUAAUAUUGAAGGACGAGAAGACCCUGUCGAGCUUGAAGAAAUCGAGGAAAACCUUUAUAUUUGUAGAUACGAAGCCUUCUUUAUCUUUUGGUUGGGGCGACUAGGGAACAACUAAAGCUUCCCCUUUUUUAAAAACUGCUUUGUAAGGAUCCAGUACUGAUCUACUGAUUAAAAGAAUUAGUUACCGCAGGGAUAACAGCAUAAUCCUUUUUGAGAGACCUUAUCGAAAAAAGGGGUUGUGACCUCGAUGUUGGACUAGGAUAUCCUGGGGGUGCAGAAGCCUUCGAGGGUUGGUCUGUUCGACCAUUAAAAUCCUACGUGAUCUGA
rnacentral:rRNA from 1 species